UACGUAGGGGGCAAGCGUUGUCCGGAAUCAUUGGGCGUAAAGCGCGCGUAGGCGGCUCGAUCAGUCUGCUGUGAAAGUCAAAGGCUCAACCUUUGAAUGCCGGUGGAUACUGUCGAGCUAGAGUCCGGAAGAGGCGAGUGGAAUUCCUGGUGUAGCGGUGGAAUGCGCAGAUAUCAGGAGGAACACCAACGGCGAAGGCAGCUCGCUGGGACGGUACUGACGCUAAGGCGCGAAAGCGUGGGAGCGAACAGG
rnacentral:rRNA from 1 species